GAGAUUCGUUGUGCCGCAAGGAUUCGCGCGGACUCGCUCUUUCUAACUUUUAAUCAGAGGGUCCUGGGUUCGAGUCCCAGCGCGCUCACCA
rnacentral:tRNA from 1 species